AACGCGAAGAACCUUACCAAGGCUUGACAUACACCGGAAUCACUCAGAGAUGGGUGCGUCUUCGGACUGGUGUACAGGUGGUGCAUGGUUGUCGUCAGCUCGUGUCGUGAGAUGUUGGGUUAAGUCCCGCAACGAGCGCAACCCUCGUUCUAUGUUGCCAGCACGUCAUGGUGGGGACUCAUAGGAGACUGCCGGGGUCAACUCGGAGGAAGGUGGGGAUGACGUCAAAUCAUCAUGCCCCUUAUGUCUUGGGCUUCACGCAUGCUACAAUGGCCGGUACAAAGGGCUGCGAAACCGCGAGGUGGAGCGAAUCCCAAAAAACCGGUCUCAGUUCGGAUUGGGGUCUGCAACUCGACCCCAUGAAGUCGGAGUCGCUAGUAAUCGCA
rnacentral:rRNA from 1 species